UUCCUUCCUUUCACUGAUGAGACCUGUGAGUUGGCAGGAAAGCACCUGCCUCCCCAGUUUGCCACCGUAAGUCACCCCAGUUACCCCCAGCCAUCAGGACGCUUGCUGGACAUCACCAGCAUCCAGCAAGCUGAGGCAGGGGCAGGCCCUCUCCAGGGACCUGGAGCAGUGGUACCCUGUCGUCUGGGCUCUGCUCAUCCUCAAAUAGCAACCCAGGCGAGUGGAGACCUGGCUCCCCUGCCCGGGGACGCUCAGCAGAGGAAGCCUCCCCUUCCAUGGAGGCUCCUUCCAUGGCUAAUACUGACUGUCGAACAGCAGGCUUCGGAAACGCAGUGGCGGAGAUCUCUGAAGAACAACCUGCACCCUUCAGAGCAGGCAGACACACCCGUCAGAGGACGGCCAGUUUCGGGUGGAAAAUGAGGAGGAGGAGAUGUCUGCUUGCCCAGGAUGCAGACACUGCUCUGCAUGUCCGCGACGCUUCCACCACCACCUGGAAAAGCUCCCUGUGUUACAUUAAUUCAAACCACAUGACACGGCUGACUUCAGCCAUUUUGUACCUUCAAACAAGGUCAUUUAAAAACAGAAAACAUAUACAGGUCUGGGGGCCCUCCUCUGCCGCCGCCGCUCCCCCCAGACCCUGGCUUUGGAGAAGUGUCCAUCCAGGUUCUCCGCCCAUUUUUUGUGGGUUGUUUGGGUUUUUGAUGUUGCACUUGCCUGAGCUGC